rnacentral:rRNA from 1 species
GAUGAACGCUGGCGGCGUGCCUAAUACAUGCAAGUCGAGCGAACAGACGAGGAGCUUGCUCCUCUGACGUUAGCGGCGGACGGGUGAGUAACACGUGGAUAACCUACCUAUAAGACUGGGAUAACUUCGGGAAACCGGAGCUAAUACCGGAUAAUAUAUUGAACCGCAUGGUUCAAUAGUGAAAGACGGUUUUGCUGUCACUUAUAGAUGGAUCCGCGCCGCAUUAGCUAGUUGGUAAGGUAACGGCUUACCAAGGCAACGAUGCGUAGCCGACCUGAGAGGGUGAUCGGCCACACUGGAACUGAGACACGGUCCAGACUCCUACGGGAGGCAGCAGUAGGGAAUCUUCCGCAAUGGGCGAAAGCCUGACGGAACAACGCCGCGUGAGUUAUGAAGGUCUUCGGAUCGUAAAACUCUGUUAUUAGGGAAGAACAAAUGUGUAAGUAACUAUGCACGUCUUGACGGUACCUAAUCAGAAAGCCACGGCUAACUACGUG